rnacentral:rRNA from 1 species
CAGCAGCCGCGGUAAUACGUAGGGUGCGAGCGUUAAUCGGAAUUACUGGGCGUAAAGCGUGCGCAGGCGGCUUCGCAAGACAGAGGUGAAAUCCCCGGGCUCAACCUGGGAACUGCCUUUGUGACUGCAAGGCUAGAGUACGGCAGAGGGGGAUGGAAUUCCGCGUGUAGCAGUGAAAUGCGUAGAUAUGCGGAGGAACACCGAUGGCGAAGGCAAUCCCCUGGGCCUGUACUGACGCUCAUGCACGAAAGCGUGGGGAGCAAACAGGAUUAGAUACCCUGGUAGUCCACGCCCUAAACGAUGUCAACUGGUUGUUGGACGGCUUGCUGUUCAGUAACGAAGCUAACGCGUGAAGUUGACCGCCUGAGGAGUACGGCCGCAAGGUUGAAACUCAAAUGAAUUGACGG